CAUAAAUGUCAGGGGGGCUCAGACAGAGGCUCUCGUGUGAUAGGCCUAUGACAUUUAAACUCCCAAAUACAGUUGCCUCCCAAAGUGAGGCUGGCUGGCCAGAGGCCAUUCUGUUCCAGGGACAAGUCUAAAAUAGGAAACUGUUUCUUAGAGAAACACAAAAUCACUGCCUUUGAAAACAGCCUCCACUCUGCCCCUCCAUCCCUCAGCAGGGCAGGGACAAGAAAGCUGGAGUGGCCUGAGCAGUGGUCGAAAACUCUGGGUGAGCCAUGCCCCUCAGACAGGCACAGGUUUCCUCAUCCCAAGUCUCUGGCAGUGCCAACCCCUGCCAGGCAGCAAGGGAGGCUGGCAGGUGUGGUGAUGGAGAGACACAACAGAUGCGGGAGGGAUUGUUGAGUAUGAGGCGCUUUGGGAGGACAGGUAGGCAGCAAGUCUCUGUGAUCCGUCUGCUCCCGAUACCCCAAAGCUGCUUGAAGGGACUGGACCUGAUUGCACUGUCUGC
rnacentral:lncRNA from 1 species